rnacentral:tRNA from 1 species
GCCUGGCUGGCUCAGUUAGUGGAGCUCAUGACUGUUGAUCUUGGGGCUUUGAGUUCUAGCCCCAUGUUAGGUG